rnacentral:tRNA from 1 species
GGGCGAUUAGCUCAGUCGGUUAGAGCGCCUCUCUGAUAAGGAGGAGGUCGGUGGUUCGAGUCCACCAUCGCCCA